AUGUCUGCAGAUGAAAAAGACAAUGAUGCUUAUUCAACAUCGCAAGAAUCUUCAGAUAAACUAGAUCCACUGGAAUCUUCAGAAUGCUCUUCUUCUUAUAGUUCUAUGGAUGAAAUUGAGGUUGAGAGUGGCAUCACUUGUGGUAAUUUGUCUAGUUCCAGGUUUUCAUUGUACUAUACAAGUACAGGUGAAGCAAAAUGCUCCUCAGAAACCCAAAAUGUGCUUUCAUAUCAAACUAGUUCUCAUCACAACGGGACAAACUCUGCAAGCCCUAAUGAUGAGCACCAUAGAAAUGUUGAUUUGGGUUGCAGCAACGUUCCCAUGCACUCGCAGAAUGUGGAACAUAAUGUGAUGCCUGAUGCUCUAGAACUGGAUUACCAGUAUAGUAAAUUUUGGCCAUUUGGCAAAUUUCCAAAGAACACAUUUAAUAGUUCCCCUGGAAAAAUGUGUUUAGUUGAUGAGUUUCUGUAUACUAACAAUGAAAGUGCAGUGGAGCAAGUAUCACAUGAUGAUGUAGUUUAUCCAUCACACACAGAGAAGUCUUGCAAUUCUAGCAUUCCUUACAAUCUCAGCACCAAUCCCAUUCUGAAGAAUGCGGCUGGUCAUCAUAUGGAGAGUGACUUGCGAGGAAAAUGGAAAAAUCAAGCACUUAAAAGCUUUGCUUUUGAGUCGGUCACGAAUCCAUGUGAAGUAUACUGUGAAAGAAGCACGCCCCUUGUGGAGUCUGAAGCCGGAGCUACAAAGGUUGUACAUUCCACUGCUCAGAUUUCUAAACAGCCUGAUUGUUCCAGUGAGCUUCUUCAAGCUAAGACAGGGAGUCAGGGAUACCUUGCUUCAUCAGGAGAAACAGAAGCAAGUGAUAAUCUUCCAAAAAAUGUCUGCGGGGGAGCAUUAUGGGAGAAAUUGUUAGAAUAUACUGCUAAAUCAACAGAAAAGAUAGCUGGAGAUAGUAGUUCAGCAUCUGAUAUGCCACUUGAUAUAGCUAUUGACAAGUGCAUUAUACAAGAAAUUCUGCUUCAGUAUCCUUAA
rnacentral:rRNA from 1 species